rnacentral:tRNA from 1 species
GGAUAGAUGGCUCAGUGGUUAAGAGCACUGACUGCUCUUCCAGAGGUCCUGAGUUCAAAUCCCACAACCA